GUCCUUUUGUGGCUCAUAAGCACGAUGAGCAGGUUUUCAUGCUAUUGUGUGAGACGUGCCUCCCUCAACAUUGUUAGAAUGUUGUCACAUUACAUGUCUGAUA
ensembl:snoRNA